GCGUAAAGCGCACGCAGGCGGUCUGUCAAGUCGGAUGUGAAAUCCCCGGGCUCAACCUGGGAACUGCAUUCGAAACUGGCAGGCUAGAGUCUUGUAGAGGGGGGUAGAAUUCCAGGUGUAGCGGUGAAAUGCGUAGAGAUCUGGAGGAAUACCGGUGGCGAAGGCGGCCCCCUGGACAAAGACUGACGCUCAGGUGCGAAAGCGUGGGGAGCAAACAGGAUUAGAUACCCUGGUAGUCCACGCCGUAAACGAUGUCGACUUUGGAGGUUGUGCCCUUGAGGCGUGGCUUCCGGAGCUAACGCGUUAAGUCGACCGCCUGGGGGAGUACGGCCGCAAGGUUAAAACUCAAAUGAAUUGACGGGGGCCCGCACAAGCGGUGGAGCAUGUGGUUUAAUUCGAUGCAACGCGAAGAACCUUACCUACUCUUGACAUCCAGAGAACUUUCCAGAAGAUGGAUUGGUGCCUUCGGGAACUCUGAGACAGGUGCUGCAUGGCUGUCGUCAGCUCGUGUUGUGAAAUGUUUGGGUUAAGUCCCGCAACGAGCGCAACCCUUAUCCUUUGUUGCCAGCGGUCCGGCCGGGAACUCAAAGGAGACUGCCAUUGAUAAACUGG
rnacentral:rRNA from 1 species